GGGGGAGAAUGGGCAUCCCACCCCAGCACUUUCUAGGAAGGAGGGCAGCAUUUUGAAGGGCUGGAAGUAGAGGAAGGAGGUUGCGGGUAGAAGACUCCAUACUUUCUGUGAUGCCUAUUCCUUAGCUUGAGAUGAAUGUUUUCUCAGUAUCCUAUGCUGAAAACAGGUAGAUACUAAUAUCGAUCUUCAAGGGAGGGCUGUUGAGUUUUGAAUAAGACAAAAACAUGGAAGCAAUCAGCACCAUGCUGCAGGAGGAAAAACAUCUGAAGAAUAUAUUUGUAGACUUCCUGGAAAUUGAUAAGUUGUCUCCAUAACUAAAGCAAGCAGAUUUUACUAAUUAGAAUUAUCUACAUAAUUUUACUUCAUUCACUUCUUUCUGUCAUACUAGGAGAGCCUUUAUAUAACCAAAGAUAUUUUUGGACCAUGAAUUCGGAAAUUCUCGGAGCCACCCAUCAGUGCCUGAGCUUCAGUGAGUCCAUAUCCCAUGUCACCCACGGCAAAGGAGAAUCUAAGACUUCUGAAGAGUUUCUUGCUUCUUUCCUGUGGGGCAGUGACUCCACUUCCCAGCAGUAAUGGAAUAUCCUGAAUUAGCUACAUUAAUGUUAGAACCAUUUGGACCUCACCCAGGACUUCAACUACAUUAUGCUAAAGUUACAGAACCCAAAUUUGGCAACUGUCUGCAUCUGAACAACAGAAGUUUCAACAUUCUGCCAACAGAGUAACUCCUGGACGAUUGGCACAGAAGGCACAAGGCAAAUACCUAUCUCUGUACACCCUGUGCUACUGUGUCAUGUGCUGCUCCAGGCAACUCCAAUGGAUUGGCCACCCUGGCCAAUGUGUUCUAGUAUGUUAGGUUUAUGUUCCCCUGCUUUCUACAAUCCUGUUCAAAGAGUUGCUGACUUAACCACAGAGAGGAUUCCAGAACAUGAGACACAGAAUAAACUUGAGCAAUCAUAGUCCAUCCACUUCAUUUUCUCAU
rnacentral:antisense_RNA from 1 species